GUGCCAGCAGCCGCGGUAAUACGAAGGGACCUAGCGUAGUUCGGAAUUACUGGGCUUAAAGAGCUCGUAGGUGGUUAAGAAAGUUGGUGGUGAAAGCCCAAGGCUUAACCUUGGAACUGCCACCAAAACUUUUUGACUAGAGUAUGAUAGAGGUAAGUGGAAUUUCUAGUGUAGAGGUGAAAUUCGUAGAUAUUAGAAAGAACACCAAUUGCGAAGGCAACUUUCUGGAUCAUUACUGACACUGAGGAGCGAAAGCAUGGGUAGCGAAGAGGAUUAGAUACCCUCGUAGUCCAUGCCGUAAACGAUGUGUGCUAGACGUUGGGAAUUUAGUUCUCAGUGUCGCAGCGAAAGCGUUAAGCACACCGCCUGGGGAGUACGACCGCAAGGUUAAAACUCAAAUGAAUUGACGGGGACCCGCACAAGCAGUGGAGCAUGUGGUUUAAUUCGAAGAUACGCGCAGAACCUUACCAACACUUGACAUGUUCGUCGCGAACCUAAGAGAUUAGGUUCUUCAUUUAGUUGGACGAAACACAGGUGCUGCAUGGCUGUCGUCAGCUCGUGUCGUGAGAUGUUGGGUUAAGUCCCGCAACGAGCGCAACCCUUACUUUUAGUUGCCACCAUUUAGUUGAGCACUCUAAAAGAACUGCCAGUGAUAAGCUGGAGGAAGGCGGGGAUGACGUCAAGUCCUCAUGGCCCUUACGUGUUGGGCUACACACGUGCUACAAUGGCACUUACAAUGAGAUGCAAAGAGGCAACUCCUAGCAAAUCUCAAAAAGGUGUCUCAGUUCGGAUUGUACUCUGCNACUCGAGUACAUGAAGCUGGAAUUGCUAGUAAUCGCGGAUCAGCGCGCCGCGGUGAAUACGUUCCCGGGUCUUGCACACACCGCCCGUC
rnacentral:rRNA from 1 species